GAAAGUGUACUGCCUCUAUCACUAACUAGCUGAAUUGUGUGGGAAGAGUCACCUACCUUCCUGGGGUUUGGUUUUAGCUAUAAAAUUAAGGCAUUGCAUUAGGACAUCUAAAGGAUCCCUUCUAUCUAAAAGGAGUCUACACCCAAACCUUAAAUGCACAAUAGGUUACUGGGAUCAGCAGUCAGCAAAUUUUUUUCUGUAAAGAGUGAGAUCAUAAAUAUUUUAGGCUUUACAGGCAAAGAGGCAAAAUCAAGGAUAUUACGUAGGUACUUAAGAGCAAACUGUCCACAAAUUUUAUUGAUGAAAUCCAAAAAAUAACAAUAGUAAUCAAGUACAAUUAUUUCUCUUUUUUUUUUCAGAGACAGGGUUUCGGCAUGUUGGCCAGGCUGGUCUCAAACUCCUGACCUCAAGUGAUCCACCCACUUCAGCCUCCCAAAGUUCUGGGACUACAGGCGUGAGCCACCAUGCCCAGCUGAGUACAAUUAUUUCUAAUAUAUGCCUAUUAAUGAGAAUAACGGAAUUAUUUUGGGAUGAGAUAACCUUUUGCUUAAUUGGGGUUCAAAGUUAUGCUUCUCCAAUUUGGAGGUUCCUCAAAGAACUAAAAAUGGAGCUACCAUAUGAUCCAGCAGCCCCACUGCUGGGUAUAUACUCAAAGGAAAGAAAAUAAUCAAAGAGAUAUCUGCACUCCCAUGUUUGUUGCAGCACUGUUCACAAUAGCCAAGAUUUGGAAGCAGCCUAAGUGUCCACCAACAGGUGAAUGGAUAAAGAAAAUGUGGUACAUAUACACAAUGGAGUACUAUUCAGCCAUAAAAAGAAUGAUAUCCUGUCAUUUGCAACACAUGGAUGGAACUGGAGGUCAUUAUGUUAAGUGAAAUAAGCCAGGCACAGAAAGACAAACAUUGCAUGUUCUCACGUAUUUGUGAGAUCUCACGUAUUUGUGGGAUCUAAAAACCAAAACGAUUGAACUCGUGGAGAUAGAGAGUAGAAGGAUGGUUACCAGAGGUUGGGAAGGGCGGUAGGGGAAUGGGGGAGAAGUGGGGAUGGGUAAUGGGUACAAAAAAUGUAUAGUUAGAAAGAAUGAAUAAGACCUAGUAUUUGAUAGCACAACAGGGUGACUAUAGUCAAUAGUAAUUGUACAUUUUAAGAUAACUAUAAUAAUAUAAGCGGAUUGUUUGUAACACAAAGGAUAAAUGCUUGAGGGGAUGGAUACUCCCAUUUUCCAUGAUGUGAUGAUUAUGCAUUGCAGGCCUGUAUCAAAAUAUCUCAUGUACCCCAUAAAUAUUUACAACUACUACGUACCAACAAAAGUUAUUUUAAUUAAAAAACAAAAACAAAAAACAGAACAAAGUUAGGGCUUCCCCAUCAUCAAACCACCUGCAAACAUUUAUCUCUAAAAAUUAUUCUUAGCUCAUGGGCCACACAAAAACAGGCAGCAGGUGAGAUUUGGCCCACAGGCCAUAGUGGCCAAACCCUGACUUAGAUGGUUGUGAGUUUCAGUGACUGCUUGUUAUGAUUAAAACCAAGCAAUUCAUCUUAAGCAAAAUUGCUAAAAAUAAACUCCUAGGCCCAGCAGUGGCAUGCAAAUAUAGUUCCAGCUACUUGGGAGGCUGAGGCAGGAGGACUGCCUGAGCCCAGAAGUUCCAGUCUCUAAAAAAAUUAAAAAGAAAAAAAAAACUUGUAUAAAUCCCUUUCUAGAAUAAUUGUAUUACUCAUUUACGUCUAAUAGGAUAAUUAUGUCAGACUAACAAAUUAAUUUAUAUCAGGUUAAUAUGAAACUAAUAGGAAACCCAAUUAUUGAUACUAGUUGGUAAACUCAUACCUUCUCCCCAGCUACAAAGAAGUCUAUGAAUAUGUCAUUCUGUUAUCAUUAUCAUUAUAUUUAGCUAACAUUCAUUGAGCACUUACUAUGUCCUAAGCACCUUCUAUUCAUCAGUUUUUCCCCAUGGCAACAUAGGAAUUAUUAGCCCAUUUCACAGACGAGGAUAAUGAGAUUUAUGAGCAUUAUGUGCUUGUACGAGGCCUGGUCUGUCUGACUUCAAACCAGUUCGCCUAAGCAUUAUAUUAUACUGUAGACAUUACUGGAAAUCAAGAAAGAGCACCUCUUCUCUCUUCAAAACCGAAACCUAGACAUAUUUCCAUAAAAUGCAUAUUCUUUUCCUUCAAAUUUAGGGUAUUUCAAUUAAGCCCUAGUGUUUAACAUAAACUUGCUGGUUGGCCUACUUUCCUGAGGAAACAAGUGAAGGGGAAAGCACCUCUAUUGACCUAACUUGGCUACCUGUAGUAGGUAAAAUUAUGGCCAAGUCCUAAUCCCUGGAUCCUAUGAACAUGUUACAUUACAUAGUAAGAAGGACUUUGCAGGUGUAAUUAAGCUUAAGGACCUUAAAAUAGAGAGAUUAUCCUGGAUUAUUCAGGUAGGCUCAAUCUAAUCACAAGCCCUUAAAAGCAGACAACCUUGUUUGGCUGGAAUCAGAGAGAUGCAACAGAGGAGGAAGUCGGAGAGGAGGAAGGGUAAGAAGGAUUUGACACGCUGCUGGCUCUAAGAUGUAGGGGCAAUGGGCAAGGACUGCAUAAAUCCCUCUGAGAACAAAGAGUGGCUUCCAGGCGAUAGCCAGCAAGGAAGUAAAGACCUUACCCCUACAAUCAGAAAGAACUGGAUUCUGCCAACAACUUGAAUCCCCUUGGAAGGGGAUUAUUCCCAGAACCUCCCCAUAAGAGCCCAGCCGGCUGACACUCUGAUUUCAGCCUUAUGAAAUCCAAAGCAGAGAAAACAACCAAGCUACCCUAGACUUCUGAGCUAGAGAACUGUGAGAUAAUAAAUCUGUGCUGUUUUAAGCUGCUUAGGUUGUAGGAGUUUGUUACAGUAGCAAUAGGAAACUAAUGCACUAUCCAAAGAACCCAACAUUUGUAGGUCAAGAGGGGAAAAUCCAGGUGGGUGCCUUGGCUUCUAAAUAACACUGGAAUGAAUCAUAAUACAUACAAAAGAUAACGUGUAUUCCUAGAGCUUGUCCCUUCUCUUUUUGUUCUUCCCAACUCCCCUCUCUUUAAAAUAACAAACUUUUAAAAUAUUCAGGUAAGGGCCAUGCAGGGAAAAUGUUCCUAACUGCUGGUAGACAAAGGUAGACAAAGCAAACCAAACAACCAGUCUCUGAAACUAGACCUUAAUGGGGCUUCUGAAGCUUCAACAAGAAUAACGAAAACAUCUUAUUUCAGACACAUGAUCUUACCAUUCCUGACCUCCCAGGGCUCUUAUUGACUCUAGGGCACGUAUGGAGACUUGAUAAUACCCAGAGCUGAUAUUAAGCAGCUGCACCAGUAGAUCCUACCAGUUGUUGAUGCUGUUAUUUCUUCUAUUUGUUCAGGGCCCAUGCCAAACCAGCUGUUAAACAUUUUGUAUAUCUCCCGUAUUACAUCCAAGUUUAUUAUAUAUUUAGUUUUACUAUUCUCUAAUGUAAGGCUACAUGUGCUAGUUUUAAUAUGUGUUUGUGAACUUUUUUACACUCCUCCCAUUAAGAGAUGGAAUCUAAAUUCCUCUCCCCUUGAUUAUGGGUUAGCCUUAGUGACUCACUUCUAAAGAAUAAUACGCAGCAGAAAUGACAGUGUGACUUCCAAGGCUAGGUAAUUAAAGGUGAUACAACUUCCCCCUGAUGCAUACAAACACACCCUCCCUCCCUUCUUCUUUCUCAGAAAAGCUGCUCUUUGAACUUUCUAUAUCAAUCAACAUGCUGUAAGGAAACCCAACAUACAUGAAGAGGCCAUAUGUAGAUGUUCUAGUCAACAGUCAGCAUCAACCAUUAGACAUGUGAGAGAGGUAGCCUUCCAUAUGACUCUAGCCCCAGCCACUAUCUGACUGUAACUACAUGAAAGACCACAAAUGGUCAGGUGCAGUGGCUCAUGCCUGUAAUCCCAGCACUUUGGGAGGCUGAGGUGGGCAGAUCACCUGAAGUCAGGAGUUCGAAACCAGCCUGGCCAACAUGGUGAAAUGCUGUCUGUACUAAAACUACAAAAAUUAGCUCAGCGUGGUGGCGGGCACCUGUAAUCUCAGCUACUCAGGAGGCUGAGGCAGGAGAAUCGCUUGAACCUGGGAGACGGAGGUUGCAGUGAGCCGAGAUCACGCCAAUGUACUCCAGCCUGGUGACAGAGUGAGACUCUGUGUCCAAAAAAAAAAAAAAAAACCACAAACGAGAACCAUGCAGCUGAGCCUAGUGACCCCCAGAACCAUGAGAGAGAAAAAUAAUGACUGUUGUUUCAGUACUCUAAAUUUGGGGGAGGUUUAUCACACAGCAAUAGAUAAAUGGAAUGCUGAAAAGUUGGCUAUCCACAGACUAAGUCCAACCCAAUGGGCUGAAUCUUCCCAGAAAACUGUUUUGCUUGCCCAACACAAUGGCUUAACAAACUAUUGAAUUGGAAUUCCUUCAAGUGGUGUGUGUAAUUACUAGUUUUCUACAGUCCCUACCACUCCCUGUUGUUUACACCCAUGUAGGUCAACCAUUUGUUAACUGACUGGCCCCUGAAGGCAUCUGAGUUUGCACAGCUUAUGUCCCAACAAGAUUUUAAGUUGCUUAUGGGCUUUGACUGUUGUCCAAAUGGGUGCUUCUGCAGUCUGUGUUUGAGAAAGGAUUUGGUGGAUAAGGACUCCAAUUCUGCUCAGGAUGACAAUGGACUCAACAACAACAACAACAACAACAACAAAAUAGCUGUGUUGCCCAGCUUCCUUUCCAACUGGAGUCAGCUACAGGAUGAGAUUCGGGCCAAUGACAUUUAAGAAAAACUUCUUGUUGCACUUCCAAUGAUCCAUUUUAAAAGGGGACAGAUUCAUCAGCAUAUGCUUUCUGCCUCGAGUCCAGGGUUUCUCAACACUUUGGGCCAGAUAAUUCUUGCUCUGGGGUUUGUCCUAUAAAUUGUAGGAUGUUUAGCAGCAUCUUUGGCUUCUACAAAUUAGAUACCAGGAGCAACCCAUGCCCCCCUCCGCAAGUUGUGACAACCAAAAAUAUCUCCAUAUAUUGCCAAAUGUGCCCCUGGUGGCAAAAUCACCUCCAGCUGAGAACUACUGCUUUAGCCUUUCCUCUUCUUCCUUUCUGGAAUGCUGAUGCAAUGCCAGAAGCCGAGCAGCCAUCUAGUAAUCACAAGGCAACACAUAUGAGGAAAAAAUCUACAUGCUGAAGAUGGUGGGAUGAAAAGCUGAUGGCAUUCGAAGGCCAGCAUAUUAGACCUGGACUGCCUCCCUCUUUUCCCUUCAUGACAUACAGAAAAUAAAGCCCUUAUUUGUUUGAGGCAUUAUGUGUCAUGUUUUCCAUUAGCUAAUGUAAUCCUAAC
rnacentral:lncRNA from 10 species